AGCACUGCGUUUAGUCCAUUGGAGAAAUUAAAGAUUAUUGAGCAGUCUUUUAAUGAAAUCACUAAGACAGUUUCUCAGUCCUUGAAAGAUGAACACAUGUGGUGCAUGGAUGAUCUGUUCCCCAUCUUCCAGUUUGUUGUGGUCAGAGCCAAGAUCCACCACCUGGGAGCAGAGAUUCAGAUCAUUGAGGACUUGAUGGAGCCACACCUUGAGCAUGGAGAGUUUGGUCUGAUGUUUACAACAUUGAAGGCUUGUUAUUUUCAAGUUCAAAAUGAGAAGCUUCCUCAUCACUGAGAUGUUUGAUUAUACCCUCAGAGAGCCUCAUCACUGAGAUGUUUGAUUAUACCCUCAAAGAGCCUCAUCACUGAGUUGUUUAUUCCUUCAAAGAGCCUCAUUACUAAGAUGUUUAUACUCUAAAAUUGCUUUAUCACUGAGACGCUUACACCCUAAAAGUGCCUCCUAACUGAUUUAGGCUAAAAAUAAAUGCACUGGGCUAAAUAUUGUUAAAAAAUCUAUUGAAAAAGUGAUACCUUUUUUUUUCUUUUCAAAUUAACAUUGUUUAUUUUAUUAACACCAUCUACAUAUAGAAUGGUUAAUGUAAUUAUAAAAUGGUGUAAAUACAUAUCUACAUGUGUUAAAUUUUCCAUGUAAAUGUAUGUUUCUUAUAUGUCAUGGGCUACACACUUUUGUUUUUUAAGCAAUGAACAAUGUACACUAAUUUUAUUAUUAUUAAAUUUUAAAAAAAACGUAUUGAUUGAUUUUUACGUUAAUCAGCUGAUCUAGAUUCUUUUGACUAAACUUUGAAUGUGUUUUCUUUUUUUUUUUGGCUGUCUCAGGAUUUUCUUCUUCAUCGUUCUCAUUUUUAUGUUGGAGCGUUCAGAUGACUAGACUAAUAUAUGAGAUGAACUGCGCAGUGGUUUCCAAAUCUGGGAGCUCUCCAAAUUGAAAGGACAAAAGAAAAAAUUUACCUUGCAAGUUUUGUAUGUGUUUUUUUUACAAAGCUUAUAUCGACUCUGUCUGUCUGUGUGAAAACGUAAUUUCUCCCACACCCAUUCUUGGAUCAAGUGGUAACUUCUCACAAUUAUUCUUUGGCAUAGACAAGAUUUGAAUAAAUUUAAAAAAAAGUAACUAAUUAGUCAAAUUACUGGUAAUUUAUUAUUUUGUUUCAUCUUAACAAGGGAGACUAAUUAUUUAGUAUUCAUAGAUAUGGCUAAAUUAGUUGGGUUUCGUCCACUUGCAUAAUUGUUAACUCUAUUUCUCCCUUGCGCAUUCUCUGAUCAUGUUGAUACAAUUAUUUAUUGUAUCUAACAAAGUAUGAAUUAAUUAAAAAAAAAAGAAAACAGUCAAUUAAUUAUUAAUAAUUAAUUAUUUAAAAAAAAAUCAAAUACAGAAAAUAACGUGUAAAUAUUUGAUAGGUAUAGUUUAAUGGGCUGAGUUCUUCACCUUUACAUAAGCUUUGUUUUAAAAAAAAAGAAUUUUUAUAUUAUGUUUGUUUUAAAUAUUUAUUUUGAAUGUCUUUUUUUCCAACUCUUGUACUAGAUUUGAUGCAAUUUAUAUCAAAAGUAAACUUUGUUUUGUUAUAGAAAUGAAGCAGUAAUCUAUUCCUAGUAUCAGGAUCAAUAUUUUAAUAUAAACCUGUCUUUUUUUCUUACCUACAAAUAGAAAGCAUCCCAUGUGCCCAUCUGAUCUUGCAAUCUAAUUUUAAUGUCCAGACUAUCAUUAACCUAAUAAAUUUAAUUUUUAAACUUAUGUUACAAAACCAAUUUAUAGUCAUGAAAUCCUUUUAUAUAGUUUGUAGCUUGAGAAUCUUUCUUUGCUGUUCAGGGUUACAUUUGGAAAUAUGAUCUAUAUGAAGCCAGCUAAGCAAUCAGAUGGCUUUGAAAGCUGUGUUUCAGUAGUUAGUGUGGUUUCAAUUUCUUCUUUCUUACAUCAGUACAACAAAGUGAUUUGGCAUUCUGAUAUGUUACAUCAUUUUAAAAUGUUUUCUUCUUUUGUUUAUUUUUGCUUAAAUUCUUAUUUUGAGAGUGGUGGCUGAGUGAUUAAGCGCUCUGCUUCUGAACUGAACCUACGAUCCUGGGCUCGAAUCUCGGUGAGUAGACUGGUAAUAUUUUGAAAUUUGGGAUGUUUAGGGCGCCCAAGUCUACCCAACUUCAACGGGUACUUGACUUAUGCUAUCAAUAAACAAUGUUUAUAUCACUGGGUAAACUCAUAUAUCAAAACAAACAUUUGCAGUGUUCAGACCAAAAAAUUCUUUUCAGAAUUUUGUAAGGCUUCUCCGGUAUCAUGUAGUCACUAAGCAGGGGAAGUACUCCAAGGUAUGUACUGUCUUAGAUACAUCCUGUACUCACACAGCUGUGCCAUGUUCUUUCUAGUGUGUGUCCUGUUCUUUCUAAGCUGUGUCAUGUACUUUCUAAUUUUUUUCAGAAUUAUAAGACUUACGGAAACAUUUCCUUCCAACUUUACCUAACUAGCUUCAUGAUAUUCUCAAGUUGGAAAUAACUUUCUGGUCGUUGACUUUACCACUAGUGUGAGUUCAAUAUAAAUCUGCAUGUGAAAUUGACACAGACACUUUACAUUAUCCAAAACAUAUUUGUAAUUUGAUCCAAGCCAUAAUAAAAUCAAUCACUAUAAUUGCUUGUUAAAUAAAACUGUAUUCAGUGAAGAAAUCUGACAGCAUCGUAAGACUUUGUCCUUGAUGCCAUAGCACAGGGCUCCCCAGCAGACCUAAUAACAAAAUUGGUUUAUAUUCUCCAUUGUAAUUUUCAAUCAGUGUUUAUCAAUUUCUACUAUUACCAUUUGAUUGUAGCUACGCCAGUAGAGUAUUCAUUAUACUUUUGAUCACAAUAGCUAGCAGUUAUAAUGGCAGCAGAAUAAAUACUGAAAAUUCCUUCAAGAAGAGUUAGCUGAGUGGUAAAGGGCUUUGCCUAUGAUCCCAGGGGUCUGGUUUAGGAGGUCUGGUUUAAGGGUUUGGUUUAGGGGUCUGGUUUUAGGAUGUCCCCUAGUCCAUCCAACUCAAAUGUCAUAUGUUGGGUCAAAGUAAAGAUGGUUGGUUAUUGUGCUGGUCACAUGACACCCUUGUUAACAAACCCAGAAACACAUAAGCUUGGCAUCGUGUGUCCCCAUACAUUGUUAGGUUUUACCUUGUUACCCUUUAAGUUUUAUUAAAACAAUAGAGUUGUGCUGAUUUUUAAAUUUAAUUUCAUUUUAUGCUUUUACAUUGUAAAGGUUGUGUAUAAUGUAUUGAGGAUAUCAUGUAAUUUGGAUAUCAAUAUCAUGUGUUAUAGGGUAUAAAUAUUGAAAUAUUAUCAUAUAAUGUAAUUAUCAUAUUACAUUCUGUCACUAUAAUAAUGGUUUAAACAAUAUUUCAUCACAGACGUUGAUUUGCUUUGUUUUUCAUGUAAAUAUAGUAAUUGAUUUUUUUCUAAAAAAUUUUUUAAAAUUUGCCUUACAUUGUUAUGAGGACAUUUUGUUUCCUGGGGACUUUUAUUCAAUGCUCUAUGUUUAAUGAUCAGCUGCUUUUGUUUUGUUUCAUUUUUUAAAAAAUGUUAAAUCCUUUAGUCAUUGUGGCCAUGCUACUGGUCAGUGUCUUGUUUAAGGGUUAAAUUAUCUGUUUUGUUUAGUAUUUACUUCCCCUUCUAUACAUUAGCGCGCUUUAAUAGUAAUGUAAUUAGAAAAACAAUAGGGAUGUAAUUAAAUGUGGUAAGCAGUCCUAUGUAUUUUAUUAAAUAAUAAAUGAUGUUUGUUUCAUGCA
rnacentral:sRNA from 1 species